GUAGGGUGCAAGCGUUAAUCGGAAUUACUGGGCGUAAAGCGUGCGCAGGCGGUUUUGUAAGACAGGCGUGAAAUCCCCGGGCGCCACCUGGGAAUUGCGCUUGUGACUGCAAGGCUGGAGUGCGGCAGAGGGGGAUGGAAUUCCGCGUGUAGCAGUGAAAUGCGUAGAUAUGCGGAGGAACACCGAUGGCGAAGGCAAUCCCCUGGGCCUGCACUGACGCUCAUGCACGAAAGCGUGGGGAGCAAA
rnacentral:rRNA from 1 species